rnacentral:rRNA from 1 species
AUCAACGCUGGCGGCGUGCCUAACACAUGCAAGUCGAACGCGAAAGGGGCUUCGGCUCUGAGUAGAGUGGCGAACGGGUGAGUAACACGUGGGUGAUCUACCUUCGAGUGGGGGAUAACGUUCCGAAAGGAGCGCUAAUACCGCAUGACGUUCUGGGUUUGAAGACCUGGAAACCAAAGCCGGGGACUGUAAGGCCUGGCGCUAGAAGAGGAGCCCGCGCCUGAUUAGCUAGUUGGUGAGGUAAUGGCUCACCAAGGCGACGAUCAGUAGCCGGCCUGAGAGGGCGGACGGCCACACUGGGACUGAGACACGGCCCAGACUCCUACGGGAGGCAGCAGUGGGGAAUUGUUCGCAAUGGGCGCAAGCCUGACGACGCAACGCCGCGUGGAGGAUGAAGGUCUUCGGAUUGUAAACUCCUGUUGACCGGGAAGAA